rnacentral:lncRNA from 1 species
GGGAGAGCAAGAGUGAGAGAGCCAGGUUUUAUCGACACAGUGGCCCAAACAGAAAGGUGACAUUUGAGAGAACAAUUGCUAGGUUGUUUGGCCUCAUUUGCUGCUAUGAAUGAGGCUUAAGAAAAGGUGUCUUUGGAUUGCUACUAAUAGUCAUCUUCAUCAUUCCUGCUCUUUCUCUCUCUCUCUCUCAGUUCCCUUAUGAAAUAAGGGCACACAGGUAAUAAACAAAGCACUAUAAAAGAUCAGAUUGAGGUAUUCUGUGGGCUCAUUCAAUGUCCGGAGCAAGCAUUCUGCUUUCCACCGCUGGUACUUUCUGCAUCCAAAGCUGCACAGACGUGGAGAGAAUAGUGGUGGGACUUGAGUCGACCCCUUUCUCCACGUCUACAACCUUGCAGAAUUUAAAAGAACCACAUCCCUGGUCAGCCAGGCCACACCUGAUGGCCAGGGAGCAGAGGAAAAGAUGGCAGGGUAGAGACCCUUGGAUUUUUCAUGUGGAUCGUGGAUCUUUACCUGACUUUCUUGGUCCAGCCUCGUGGCAGAUGCAGAAAUGCUUCCUCAAGAGCCUCACUGCUGCUUUCAGUGAUGGAUUAAGCACAAUACACAGAGAGGUAGGUGCCGAGUAGUGGAGAGCGGGGAGGUGGGAGUAUAGGACCCUAUAAGGAUUUACAUAUAAUUAUGCUCUCUCAAAAGUAUUGUCCUUACUGCGAUCAUAUCACCUAUGGAUCAUGGAGUACUAGGCAUGUGCCUGCCCAUCUGCUGAGCACCUGCCACAGGUGAUCUUUACUUCUAACGGUGCUCUAGGACAGGUUACUUCUUAUGUCCUCACAUCAAAUAGUGGACACUGAAGUUCUCUGGGGUUAAGCGAUAUGUGCAAAAUCAGGAUUGCAAGUCAGGUCCAGUAGGUUCCAAAGCUACAGUCUAUAAACACAGUGCAUACACAUUUAAUAAAUUAUUUAUUUAUUUAGGUUUUUUGAGACAGAGUCCCAC